UACAAUGCUGGCAACAGCGAUAAGGGAACCUCGAGUGCCAGGUUACAAAUCUGGCUGUCGAGAUGCCUAAAAAGCAUUUCAUAGCAAGGGCCGGGCAAGACCGGUGCCAGCCGCCGCGGUAACACCGGCGGCCCGAGUGCUAACCGCUAUUAUUGGGUCUAAAGGGUCUGUAGCCGGCCGGAUAAGUCUCUUGAGAAAUCUGGCAGCUUAACUGUCAGGCUUUCAGGAGAUACUGUCUGGCUCAAGGCCGGGAGAGGUGAGAGGUACUUCAGGGGUAGGGGUGAAAUCGUGUAAUCCUUGAAGGACCACCAGUGGCGAAGGGGUCUCACCAGAACGGACCUGCCGGCAAGGGACGAAAGCUAGGGGCA
rnacentral:rRNA from 1 species